GACGAACGCUGGCGGCGUGCUUAACACAUGCAAGUCGAACGGAAAGGCCCUGCUUUUGUGGGGUGCUCGAGUGGCGAACGGGUGAGUAACACGUGAGUAACCUGCCCUUGACUUUGGGAUAACUUCAGGAAACUGGGGCUAAUACCGGAUAGGAGCUCCUGCUGCAUGGUGGGGGUUGGAAAGUUUCGGCGGUUGGGGAUGGACUCGCGGCUUAUCAGCUUGUUGGUGGGGUAGUGGCUUACCAAGGCUUUGACGGGUAGCCGGCCUGAGAGGGUGACCGGCCACAUUGGGACUGAGAUACGGACCAGACUCCUACGGGAGGCAGCAGUGGGGAAUAUUGUACAAUGGGCGGAAGCCUGAUGCAGCAACGCCGCGUGCGGGAUGACGGCCUUCGGGUUGUAAACCGCUUUCGCCUGUGACGAAGCGUGAGUGACGGUAAUGGGUAAAGAAGCACCGGCUAACUACGUG
rnacentral:rRNA from 1 species